rnacentral:rRNA from 1 species
GAUAAUCAUGGAGUAUAAAAAUUAAAUUUAAUAAAUUUAAUAUAACUAUUAAUAGAAUUAGGUUACUAAUAAAUUAAUAACAAUUAAUUUUAAAACCUAAAGGUAAACCUUUAUAUUAAUAAUGUUUUUUUUUUAUUUUUAUAAUUAAGAAUAAUUAUUAAUAAUAAUAAACUAAGUGAACUGAAACAUCUAAGUAACUUAAGGAUAAUAAAUCAACAGAGAUAUUAUGAGUAUUGGUGAGAGAAAAUAAUAAAGGUCUAAUAAGUAUUAUGUGAAAAAAAUGUAAGAAAAUAGGAUAACAAAUUCUAAGACUAAAUACUAUUAAUAAGUAUAGUAAGUACCGUAAGGGAAAGUAUGAAAAUGAUUAUUUUAUAAGCAAUCAUGAAUAUAUUAUAUUAUAUUAAUGAUGUACCUUUUGUAUAAUGGGUCAGCAAGUAAUUAAUAUUAGUAAAACAAUAAGUUAUAAAUAAAUAGAAUAAUAUAUAUAUAUAAAAAAAUAUAUUAAAAUAUUUAAUUAAUAUUAAUUGACCCGAAAGCAAACGAUCUAACUAUGAUAAGAUGGAUAAACGAUCGAACAGGUUGAUGUUGCAAUAUCAUCUGAUUAAUUGUGGUUAGUAGUGAAAGACAAAUCUGGUUUGCAGAUAGCUGGUUUUCUAUGAAAUAUAUGUAAGUAUAGCCUUUAUAAAUAAUAAUUAUUAUAUAAUAUUAUAUUAAUAUUAUAUAAAGAAUGGUACAGCAAUUAAUAUAUAUUAGGGAACUAUUAAAGUUUUAUUAAUAAUAUUAAAUCUCGAAAUAUUUAAUUAUAUAUAAUAAAGAGUCAGAUUAUGUGCGAUAAGGUAAAUAAUCUAAAGGGAAACAGCCCAGAUUAAGAUAUAAAGUUCCUAAUAAAUAAUAAGUGAAAUAAAUAUUAAAAUAUUAUAAUAUAAUCAGUUAAUGGGUUUGACAAUAACCAUUUUUUAAUGAACAUGUAACAAUGCACUGAUUUAUAAUAAAUAAAAAAAAUAAUAUUUAAAAUCAAAUAUAUAUAUAUUUGUUAAUAGAUAAUAUACGGAUCUUAAUAAUAAGAAUUAUUUAAUUCCUAAUAUGGAAUAUUAUAUUUUUAUAAUAAUAAUAAAAAUAUAAAUACUGAAUAUCUAAAUAUUAUUAUUACUUUUUUUUUUAAUAAUAAUAAUAUGGUAAUAGAACAUUUAAUGAUAAUAUAUAUUAGUUAUUAAUUAAUAUAUGUAUUAAUUAAAUAGAGAAUGCUGACAUGAGUAACGAAAAAAAGGUAUAAACCUUUUCACCUAAAACAUAAGGUUUAACUAUAAAAGUACGGCCCCUAAUUAAAUUAUAUAAGAAUAUAAAUAUAUUUAAGAUGGGAUAAUCUAUAUUAAUAAAAAUUUAUCUUAAAAUAUAUAUAUUAUUAAUAAUUAUAUUAAUUAAUUAAUAAUAUAUAUAAUUAUAUUAUAUAUUAUAUUUUUAUAUAUAAUAUAUAUAAUAUAAACUAAUAAAGAUCAGGAAAUAAUUAAUGUAUACCGUAAUGUAGACCGACUCAGGUAUGUAAGUAGAGAAUAUGAAGGUGAAUUAGAUAAUUAAAGGGAAGGAACUCGGCAAAGAUAGCUCAUAAGUUAGUCAAUAAAGAGUAAUAAGAACAAAGUUGUACAACUGUUUACUAAAAACACCGCACUUUGCAGAAACGAUAAGUUUAAGUAUAAGGUGUGAACUCUGCUCCAUGCUUAAUAUAUAAAUAAAAUUAUUUAACGAUAAUUUUAUUAAAUUUAGGUAAAUAGCAGCCUUAUUAUGAGGGUUAUAAUGUAGCGAAAUUCCUUGGCCUAUAAUUGAGGUCCCGCAUGAAUGACGUAAUGAUACAACAACUGUCUCCCCUUUAAGCUAAGUGAAAUUGAAAUCGUAGUGAAGAUGCUAUGUACCUUCAGCAAGACGGAAAGACCCUAUGCAGCUUUACUGUAAUUAGAUAGAUCGAAUUAUUGUUUAUUAUAUUCAGCAUAUUAAGUAAUCCUAUUAUUAGGUAAUCGUUUAGAUAUUAAUGAGAUACUUAUUAUAAUAUAAUGAUAAUUCUAAUCUUAUAAAUAAUUAUUAUUAUUAUUAUUAUUAAUAAUAAUAAUAUGCUUUCAAGCAUAGUGAUAAAACAUAUUUAUAUGAUAAUCACUUUACUUAAUAGAUAUAAUUCUUAAGUAAUAUAUAAUAUAUAUUAUAUAUAUAUUAUAUAUAAUAUAAGAGACAAUCUCUAAUUGGUAGUUUUGAUGGGGCGUCAUUAUCAGCAAAAGUAUCUGAAUAAGUCCAUAAAUAAAUAUAUAAAAUUAUUGAAUAAAAAAAUAAUAUAUAUUAUAUAUAUUAAUUAUAAAUUGAAAUAUGUUUAUAUAAAUUUAUAUUUAUUGAAUAUAUUUUAGUAAUAGAUAAAAAUAUGUACAGUAAAAUUGUAAGGAAAACAAUAAUAACUUUCUCCUCUCUCGGUGGGGGUUCACACCUAUUUUUAAUAGGUGUGAACCCCUCUUCGGGGUUCCGGUUCCCUUUCGGGUCCCGGAACUUAAAUAAAAAUGGAAAGAAUUAAAUUAAUAUAAUGGUAUAACUGUGCGAUAAUUGUAACACAAACGAGUGAAACAAGUACGUAAGUAUGGCAUAAUGAACAAAUAACACUGAUUGUAAAGGUUAUUGAUAACGAAUAAAAGUUACGCUAGGGAUAACAGGGUAAUAUAACGAAAGAGUAGAUAUUGUAAGUUAUGUUUGCCACCUCGAUGUCGACUCAACAUUUCCUCUUGGUUGUAAAAGCUAAGAAGGGUUUGACUGUUCGUCAAUUAAAAUGUUACGUGAGUUGGGUUAAAUACGAUGUGAAUCAGUAUGGUUCCUAUCUGCUGAAGGAAAUAUUAUCAAAUUAAAUCUCAUUAUUAGUACGCAAGGACCAUAAUGAAUCAACCCAUGGUGUAUCUAUUGAUAAUAAUAUAAUAUAUUUUAUAAAAAUAAUACUUUAUUAAUAUAUUAUCUAUAUUAGUUUAUAUUUUAAUUAUAUAUUAUCAUAGUAGAUAAGCUAAGUUGAUAAUAAAUAAAUAUUGAAUACAUAUUAAAUAUGAAGUUGUUUUAAUAAGAUAAUUAAUCUGAUAAUUUUAUACUAAAAUUAAUAAUUAUAGGUUUUAUAUAUUAUUUAUAAAUAUAAUAUAAUAAUUAUUAUUAUUAAUAAAAAAAAUAUUAAUUAUA